rnacentral:misc_RNA from 1 species
GAUGAAGAACGCAGCAAAAUGCGAUAAGUAAUGUGAAUUGCAGAAUUCAGUGAAUCAUCGAAUCUUUGAACGCACAUUGCGCCCUCUGGUAUUCCGGGGGGCAUGCCUGUUCGAGCGUCAUUACAACCCUCAAGCUCAGCUUGGUGUUGGGCCCCGCCGCCCCGGCGGGCCCUAAAGUCAGUGGCGGUGCCGUCCGGCUCCGAGCGUAGUAAUUCUUCUCGCUCUGGAGGUCCGGUCGUGUGCUCGCCAGCAACCCCCAAUUUUUUUCAGGUUGACCUCGGAUCAGGUAGGGAUACCCGCUGAACUUAAGCAUAUCAAUAAGCGGAGGA